CCCCCACCCCCAACCCAAAAAAGAAAAUAUGCAAUGUCAAUCGCCAUAUGCAAAUAAAUUUAACCCAAAAAGAUACCCAAGUGGUUUCCUUGACUGAUAGGAAUUUUUUUUAGCCUUUUUAUCAUAUUAUUUUCAUGAAAAAAAAAUCAAUGUAAAAUAUAUUUUAUUUAUGACAAAAUAUUUAAUAAUUAUUAUUAGUGGAAUGAUAAAAAAUUUGUGUUCAAAUUUUGUUUGAAGACAUCAUUUUUAAAAACUUGAAAAAGAUAAAAACACCAUCAUAAUAAAUAGAAAUUAAUAUUAGUUUUUAUUUGAAAAAAUAAAUAAAAUUUUUACCAAUUUAGCUAACGUUCACUUUAGAGAAAAGCUAUAUGACAAGUAUAAAUAUGUGACCAUUGUGUUCAUUAACAUGAUAGAUUGUUAGUUAGUGCUCCUAUUGAAGGAUGUUGACUGCAAGUAAAUGUAUAUAUACCAUUAUCUUUUUAUAUGGUGUUUCAUUACCGUUCUUUAUAAAAUUUCAUGUUUUUUUUUUAAUGCUAAAUACGCCUAUAAAAUCUUUCAACCAAAAUUUUGAAGCUAUACAUUUUGAAACUGUACAUUCAAUAAUUAUUUAUUGUAAUAGAAAUAACUUUUUAAAAUUUAUUUAAGAAUUACUGAUAAGUCUUCGCCAAAAUUCUUAAUAAAAACCAUU
rnacentral:lncRNA from 1 species